rnacentral:lncRNA from 1 species
AAGAGAGGUAAAAAGAAGAUAACCAGAAAUAUAUACAUCUCCCUGUAUGAUGAAGAAAGAUAAAUUAUGGAGGAAAAGUAGCUAUACCAACAAUUGCAGUUAGAGUUGUUAACAUUUUCAAGAAGGCAAACUAAUCAAGAAGACAAAAAAUAGGAAUUUAUUAGGUUAAAAAAAUCUUUCCAUCAAUAAACUCAAACCAAUAGAUGUAUAUAGAAGUUUAUUCUCCAAAAUAUAGAACACGAGUUGUUUCUGCACAUAGUGAAUAUUUACAAAUCAACUCUUAAACUCUAUGCAAUUAAGAUCACAAGAAAUUAGAGCUCAAUAGCAAAAAGAUAGUUUUAAAACACCUACAGGUAACCUUAUAUUACACAGAUCCAAAUAUGAUAAUAGUAUAUCAUGAACAAUAGAAUGGCUAAAAGUUUGAAAACUUAGGUGAAAUGGAUAGAUUUCUAGAGUUGUAUAUAUAUAAAAUACCAAAACUGCUCUAGAAUUAAAUAAAAAAACUUGCAUGAGAUAAGCAUCAUGGAAGAAGUUAAAAUGUAAUCAAAUACCUCUCUUCUCCGAAGAGCUCCAAUACCAGAUAGCUUUGUUUGUUUAUUUCUCUAGCUAUGGAGACUGAAUCCAGCCCUCACACAUGCUAAGCACAUGUUCCUCCCCACCAAGAGACAGCCCCAGCCCUGCUGCCAUGCAGCUUUAAGUGUGAGUUUUAUCAAACUUUCAGGGGGCAGAUAAUCUAUUUUAUAAAAGAGACAUAUUACAAAAACUCAGUUAAAUCUAAUGUUAAAGUAUAUAAUAACCAAAUGUAUUUUUUCCCAAGGUACACAAUGGCAUUUUAAUAUCAGAUACUCUGUUAAAGUAAUGAACACAUAUACUAGGAAAGCUAUAGUUGUAAAGCCUUUAAAAUGGGACAGAGACAAAAAUAUGCCACAUAUUACUGCAAAUGUUUAAUAUCAUGUGGAAGGUCUUAGUUAAUGCAAGAUAAUAGGAAAAAAUGCACAAAAAUUGGAAAGGUAAUAACAGUUUCAUUUAUUUGCAGGUGAUAGAAUCCUCUGAAUAGAAAACCAAACAAAAUCCAUAGAAAAAUAUAGUAGUGAUAGAAGUAAGCAAGGUUGUUUGACACAGGAUAGGCACUUGAAGUCACUAGCAUUUUGUAAUGCCAAACUUGAAAAUAU